rnacentral:rRNA from 1 species
GAUGAACGCUGGCGGCGUGCCUAAUACAUGCAAGUCGAGCGAAUUGACAGAGGUGCUUGCACCUCUCGAUUUAGCGGCGGACGGGUGAGUAACACGUGGGUAACCUACCUAUAAGACUGGGAUAACUUCGGGAAACCGGAGCUAAUACCGGAUAAUAUUUAGCUUCGCAUGAAGCAAUAGUGAAAGACGGUUCUGCAGUCACUUAUAGAUGGACCUGCGGUGUAUUAGCUAGUUGGUGAGGUAACGGCUCACCAAGGCAACGAUACAUAGCCGACCUGAGAGGGUGAUCGGCCACACUGGGACUGAGACACGGCCCAGACUCCUACGGGAGGCAGCAGUAGGGAAUCUUCCGCAAUGGACGAAAGUCUGACGGAGCAACGCCGCGUGAGUGAAGAAGGUUUUCGGAUCGUAAAACUCUGUUGUAAGGGAAGAACAAGUACGUUAGUAACUGAACGUACCUUGACGGUACCUUACCAGAAAGCCACGGCUAACUACGUGCCAGCAGCCGCGGUAAUACGUAGGUGGCAAGCGUUAUCCGGAAUUAUUGGGCGUAAAGCGCGCGUAGGCGGUCUCUUAAGUCUGAUGUGAAAGCCCCCGGCUCAACCGGGGAGGGUCAUUGGAAACUGGGAGACUUGAGUACAGAAGAGGAGAGUGGAAUUCCAUGUGUAGCGGUGAAAUGCGCAGAGAUAUGGAGGAACACCAGUGGCGAAGGCGGCUCUCUGGUCUGUAACUGACGCUGAGGUGCGAAAGCGUGGGGAUCAAACAGGAUUAGAUACCCUGGUAGUCCAUGCCGUAAACGGUGGGCGCUAGGUGUGAGGGUCUUUUCACGACUUUCGUGCCGUAGCUAACGCAUUAAGCGCCCCGCCUGGGGAGUACGGCCGCAAGGCUAAAACUCAAAGGAAUUGACGGGGGCCCGCACAAGCGGCGGAGCAUGUGGAUUAAUUCGAUGCAACGCGAAGAACCUUACCUGGGCUUGACAUACACUGGAUCGGGCUAGAGAUAGUCUUUCCCUUUGUGGCUGGUGUACAGGUGGUGCAUGGUUGUCGUCAGCUCGUGUCGUGAGAUGUUGGGUUAAGUCCCGCAACGAGCGCAACCCUUGUCUUAUGUUGCCAGCAUUUGGUUGGGGACUCAUGAGAGACUGCCGGGGUCAACUCGGAGGAAGGUGGGGAUGACGUCAAAUCAUCAUGCCCCUUAUGUCCAGGGCUUCACACAUGCUACAAUGGUCGGUACAACGCGCAGCGACACUGUGAGGUGGAGCGAAUCGCUGAAAGCCGGCCUUAGUUCGGAUUGGGGUCUGCAACUCGACCCCAUGAAGUCGGAGUCGCUAGUAAUCGCAGAUCAGCAACGCUGCGGUGAAUACGUUCCCGGGCCU